CCUACGGGUGGCUGCAGUGGGGAAUAUUGCACAAUGGGCGCAAGCCUGAUGCGGCCAUGCCGCGUGUGUGAAGAAGGCCUUCGGGUUGUAAAGCACUUUCAGCGGGGAGGAAGGCGUUAAGGUUAAUAACCUUGUCGAUUGACGUUACCCGCAGAAGAAGCACCGGCUAACUCCGUGCCAGCAGCCGCGGUAAUACGGAGGGUGCAAGCGUUAAUCGGAAUUACUGGGCGUAAAGCGCACGCAGGCGGUCUGUCAAGUCGGAUGUGAAAUCCCCGGGCUCAACCUGGGAACUGCAUUCGAAACUGGCAGGCUAGAGUCUUGUAGAGGGGGGUAGAAUUCCAGGUGUAGCGGUGAAAUGCGUAGAGAUCUGGAGGAAUACCGGUGGCGAAGGCGGCCCCCUGGACAAAGACUGACGCUCAGGUGCGAAAGCGUGGGGAGCAAACAGGAUUAGAUACCCGAGUAGUC
rnacentral:rRNA from 1 species